UACGUAGGGGGCAAGCGUUGUCCGGAAUCAUUGGGCGGAAGGAGCGUGUAGGCGGCCCGGUCAGUCCGCCGUGAAAGUCCAGGGCUCAACCCUGGAAUGCCGGUGGAUACUGCCGGGCUGGAGUCCGGAAGAGGCGAGUGGAAUUCCUGGUGUAGCGGUGAAAUGCGCAGAUAUCAGGAGGAACACCGAUGGCGAAGGCAGCUCGCUGGGACGGUACUGACGCUGAGACGCGAAAGCGUGGGGAGCAAACAGG
rnacentral:rRNA from 1 species